CUUUUGGUUCUUUCAUUCUUUAUGGCAUGCCGUUCACACACUGGGUUGUCCACCAGUUUUUAUCCGGUGAAUGAGGCGGGAAAUAAAUUUGAAUUGAGAAAUCAAAUUUUAAAAAUUAAUUUAUUUCUCUCCCCUAAUCCCUUUCUCCUUUACCCUGAUGAUCACUGAGUUCUCUACCUUUUUUUUUUCAAUCUCUCUUCUCUUACACCAAGGUCUCCUCUCACAUUCCCAUUGAAGCAGAGAAGAAGAGAACAUGACAGUGAAGAGGAAAAGCACGAGGAAGAAGAGGGAGGCGAUGGCGGCCGUAGUGAGAGGUGGCAACCUUGCCACUGAAUCAAAUGAAAGAGAGUGAAAGCAAACAGAUCGGUGACAGAGGAAGAGGAAGGAGGCGACGGCGGUGAUAGAGGCCACCGCCGCUAUUGGAUACGUCGCCAGAGAAGAAAUUCGUUGGACUGAGGGGAGAGAAAAAAAUGGAAGAAGAAGAGUAGAGGCUCAGGUAAAAUCAGCUAAGAAGUGAAUUUUUUUAAGGUUCCUCCUCUAAAUGAUGGAAACUCAGCUUACUUUGUUCAGUCAAAUGCAGUUGAAAAUGAAUCAUAUCAAAACUCACCAAAGAACUCUAGCAGACAGAGGUAUUCUAUCAUUUCAUUUUUGGGUUUUGAUUAAAUUUUGUUAUACUUUUUGCUAUCCUCUUCAAUAUUCUUGAUUUUUCUAUUUAUUUGAGUUUGAUGCCUGUAAUCAG